rnacentral:tRNA from 1 species
CAAGAAAUAGUUUACAAUAAAAUUUUAGAUUUGGGUUCUAAAGAAAGAUCUUUCUUUUCUAUA